GGUUUUUUGAAUUAUAAUUUAAGAUUAGUUCUGCUCAAUGAUUUGAAAUUAAAUAGCCGCAGUAUUUUGACUGUGCUAAGGUAGCAUAAUCAAUUGUUUUUUAAUUGAGAACUGGAAUGAAGGAAUUGAUGAGAUUAAGACUGUCUAUAUAUAAAAUUUUAAAAUUUAAAUUUUAAGUAAUAAUUCUUAAAUAAAGUUAUGGGACGAGAAGACCCUAUAGAAUUUGAUAUAAUUUUUUAAAAUAAGUAUAAAAUAAUAUUUAAUAAAAUUAAUAUUUUAUUGGGAGGAUAAUUAAAUUAAAUUAACUUUAAAAUUAAAAUUAAACAUUAAUUUAUGAGAUAAUGGUUGAAUAAUUUUAUAAUAAUAAUUAAAAUUAAUUAAAAAUUAAUUACCUUAGGGAUAACAGCGUAAUAUUUUUAAAAAGAUCAUAUUGAUAAAAGUGUUUGCGACCUGGAUGUUGAAUUAAAAUAAAAAUUAAAUGAAGAAGUUUAAUAUUUUA
rnacentral:rRNA from 1 species